rnacentral:tRNA from 1 species
GACCACGUAGCUCAGUUGGCAGAGCACUGGGCUAAUAUUCCAAAGGUCGUAGGUUCGAUUCCCACCGUGGCCG